rnacentral:rRNA from 1 species
GACGAACGCUGGCGGCGCGCCUAACACAUGCAAGUCGAACGAGCGAGAGGAGGUGUACUUUCUCAAGCGAGUGGCGAACGGGUGAGUAACGCGUGAGGAACCUGCCUCAAAGAGGGGGACAACAGUUGGAAACGACUGCUAACACCGCAUAAGCCCACGACCCGGCAUCGGGUAGAGGGAAAAGGAGCAAUCCGCUUUGAGAUGGCCUCGCGUCCGAUUAGCUAGUUGGUGAGGUAAUGGCCCACCAAGGCGACGAUCGGUAGCCGGACUGAGAGGUUGAACGGCCACAUUGGGACUGAGACACGGCCCAGACUCCUACGGGAGGCAGCAGUGGGGAAUAUUGCACAAUGGGGGACACCCUGAUGCAGCGACGCCGCGUGGAGGAAGAAGGUCUUCGGAUUGUAAACUCCUGUUGUUGAGGAAGAUAAUGACGGUACUCAACAAGGAAGUGACGGCUAACUACGUG